UUGUGCAUCACUUGUUUGUACAUAUUAGUAGUAGUAGUACUAUUAUCACCACUGUAUUAUUAUUAUUAUUAUUAUUAUUAUUAUUAUUACUAUUAUUACUAUUAUUAUUAUUAUUAUUUUCCUGUCUUAUUAAACUGUCUUUAUCUCAACUCACGGGCUUCACUUUCCAUUUCUCUCCCCCGUCCCAGAGAGGGAGGGAGGAGGGUGAGCGAACGGCUGCGUGGUGUUUAGCUGCCGGCCGGGUUAAACCACGACAGUCUUUUUGGCGCCCAACAUGGGGCACGAAAGGUUGAGAUAACAGCAGAUCUGACCAGAGUGUGUUAAACUAAAAUUGGUGUAAGUAUUAGACCUGCUUUGCUUAAUAGUCACUUGUCAUAAUGCUGAUUGCUUUAAUCUCAACUCUGCUGCGCCUGUUUUCCAAAUUGAGUAUUAUAGCACAUUAUUUUCCGUAUGUGCUCUCUGUCAUGUUGUUUAUCCUCCCCGAGCCCUGGUUUCAGAUCAUUAUGGUACUGUGUGUUGUAGCAAUGGCUUAUGAGACGAUGAGAUAUCUGGUCAUGACUCUAACUUGGUAUUUGUACUCGGUAACAUCGUCAACUCUGUACUUUGGAAACUGUAUCUUGGAAACUAUUAGCAAUUAUACCUAUUGCCUUUUUCCAUUAGGGAGUCAAUCUGUGGAGGGGAAAGGGGAAGAUAUUUUUUCUUACUUGAUUACUCUCCCUUUCUCCUUCACCACCCCUGUAUCCUCCUUGAUCACUCUCCCUUCCUCCUUCACCACCCUCUUAUCCUCCAAGCUCGUUACAAUAGCUUUCCAAGAUAUUGAAUAUCCUUGGGAUACUCAGACCAGCAUAGUCUUGUUGUUCUGCCUCCUGAAUGCACUUCAGGUUCUGCUUAAAGUUAAACAACUACUUAGGAAGCUCAUCCGGAGAUCUGCUCGGAGGCAGUAUAGUUAUGGGUGGCGGGGAGUAUGGGAGGAUAUGGGCAGGCAUCUAGAGCAGUUGGCACCCCCACUGUUUUGGAAAUUCACCCCUGAACAACUGCAAAAUCCUCAAAACCUGGCAGAAUGCUUGAAAAAAAGGUGUCAUGAUUCUGGCAGUUCCAAAGUGACACAAAUCAUUGUAACGUGCUGGGGCCUGGCUCAUGCCUAUCGAGCUGCCACUGAUAUUGUUAUCAACUUAGUGACAGACCCUGCAGCCACUCCAAGUCCUGUGACAGAUCCAACAGCAACUGUGACCCCUACGGUGGACUCUGCAGCCGCUCCAGUCCCAGUUCCUGCAGCCACUCCAGUUCCAGUUCCUGCAGCUGCUCCAGUCCCAGUUCCUGCAGCCGCUGCAGUUCCAGCUCCUGCAGCUGCUCCAGCUCCUGUGGCUGUAUCAGAGAAACGAGCUGUAGCAGUGCAAGUUGACCCUGCAGAGGGUAUUCCAACCUCUGUGGCAGACCCUGUAACAAGGUCAGAGAAACGAGCUGUAGCAGUGCAAGCUGCCCCUGUAGAGAAGGUGAAAAAAUGGUAUAGAGAUUCAGGUCGUUUAGAACGCAGAGAGUCUUCUGCCAAGUCUAGGUAUAGAGACGAUGAUGACGCUGGGCCGUCAAGAAUUCAGGAGGAGAAAGAUGAGGACGCCGAAAAGUCAACAGUAACUACCCGAAGCCCAUACGAGUGCAAGCUACAAGAUGUGCGAAAAGAUUUUGGUCGUUGUAUAGGUGAGCAGCUUAUCACCUGGCUGCUCCGGUGCUGGGACUCUGGAGCCAAUUGUGUGGAAUUAGACGGCAGGGAAGCCAGGUGGCUGGGAUCCGUUGCUGGAGACGCAGGCAUUGACAAAGCAAUUGCAGAUGGAGCACAAUCCACCAGCCUCUGGAGGCGUCUCCUCUCCGCUGUGAGGGAAAGGUAUCCCUUCAAGGAAGAACUUUUACGUCUACCAGGCAAGUGGACCACUAUGGAGAAGGGAAUCCAGUACCUGAGGGAAUUAGCCGUACGGGAAGUGAUUUAUGAGGAUCCAGACCUCAGACAAACAUCCAAAGACCCAGAUGAAGUCAAGUGUACACGACCCAUGUGGCGGAAGUUUGUACUGAGUGCACCAUCAUCAUAUGCCAGCUCAUUGGCAAUAAUGGCCUGGAAAGAGGA
rnacentral:lncRNA from 1 species